UAUUUAAUCACGUGCUUAUACACAAUACGCGUACACCCAUAUCUUUACAUGUAUACACAUUUUUUUUUCUACCUCCUAUUUUGCAGAAUCAUUAUAGUGUCGUUCGAUAUAUACAAAAGGUUGUACAACAUAUUGAAACAAAUUCAAUUCAAACUAGUGAUAGUUGAUGAAACCCAUCAUAUUAGAACAGUACAAUAUGGUAAACAAAGUCAAUUAUCAAAAAAGUUAAAAAAAAAAAUAACAAAAACUAAGCAUGUUAUUCUUCUAAGUGGUACGGCGUCAGUGAAUAGACCUAUAAACAUUUUUCAUCAAAUAAAAUAUAUAAUUAAUAAUAAUAAAUUAUUUUUUAAAAAUAAAUAUGUUUUUGGUGAGGAGUGUUGUAAAAAAUAUAUUAAUAGAGGAGAAAAAAUUUAUGAAGAAAACCUAAGAUCCUGGGAGUUCUCUUUGUUUUUAAAAAAAAUAGUUAUGAUAAGAAGAAACAUAAAUCAAAUUUUUAAAAACAAUUUUAUUAAUUUGAAACGAUACUUUAUAUUUUUACCAAAUGAGUUUUCUUCAACUAAUGCUAUUAAUACGUAUAACAGAACGCAGCAUAACAAAUUGCAGCAGAACACUACAUGUCAACCGCCAACCGAAAAUUGCAUAGAGGACCAUGAUAAGGAUUUACUUAGUAGUGAUAACAAACUUUUUGACAGCAGCGAAGGUAAUGACAUAGAUAUUCAAAGCGAAGAAAAUAACAGCAAAACCAAAACCAAAACCAAAACCAAAACCAAAAGCAAGAACAAAAAGGACAACAUUGACGGCAUAACAAAUAGACAAAAACUAAGCAACCUUUUUCACGUUAAUAUUAAAUCCAAAAAAGAAGAAGAAGGACUAUCAAAAAUUGUAAACGCUCUUGAAUAUAUGGAAACGUAUUUCCCUACGAAGAAAAAAAUUAUUUUCUGUUAUCAUUUAAUAGUAUGCAAAUGUAUAGAAGAACAAUUACUUAAAAUUAUAUCAAAGAAGAAAAAAAAUGAUGGUGAUGGUGAUAGUUAUGGUGAUGGUAAUGGUGAUACAACUAGUACUGUCAUAAACAGAAGUAUCGAUUAUGUAGUAUUAAACGGACGGUUAAACGAAAAAGAGAAACUCGAAAAAAUCAAUUAUUUUAAAAACGUAAGUAACUGCUAUUAUGGAAUAUUAACUAUUUGUUCUGUUACUCAUGGUCUUGAUUUUAGUUUUUGUAAUUUAUGUUUUUUUAUUGAAUUUCCAGUUAAUUUUUUUCAUUUACAACAAUGCGAGGCUCGACUAUUCAGACGGAACCAACGAUUUGACACUUUCGUUUUUUAUUUUUUGCUAAAAAAUGGUUUAGGAAGUGAUGAAAAGACAUGGAAAAGGUUUGUGUUAUGUGCACACAGUACCAGGUCUAUUAUUGAUGGUACAUACUUUGAAGGAAAGGAUUUAUUUUAUGAGAAGUUUAACUAUGAUGUAGUAACAGCCGUUAAUAAUGCAAAACCUAUACAUGAAUAUAAACACGUGACAAAUACAAAUAGCAGUGAUAAAAAGGAAACUGUUAAAUAUGACAAUGAUUAUGAAAAUGUUAAAAAGUUAAAUACAAAUGUAGAAUGCUACAAACAAAACGAUUUGUCAUGCUUAAACAAUAGAUCAAAACAAACACCCUAUAAUAAAAGUUGUGAAAAGCAAUCCGAAAAAAUAUGCACACAAGUAAAGAGAAAAAAAUACUUGUUUGAAAUGAACGUAUUAACUAAUCGGGUACACGUUUAUAUAGGUAAUAAAAAAAAAACCAACUUUUAUAUAAACGAUUUGAAUACUGUGAAAGAGGAAAAACUGAGUAGGAUAAAAAGGUGCGCAUACAAAUUUUUGCAAAAUUACAAUAAAUUAAACACAUAUCAAAAAAAACUAAUUGAAAACAAAAAAUGUGACAUUAAUAUAUCUAUACUUAAUCAUAUUAAUACAAAGAAAACAACAAAUGAAUCCUUAAUUUUUG
rnacentral:lncRNA from 1 species